UUAAGCGACUAAGCGUACACGGUGGAUGCCCUGGCAGUCAGAGGCGAUGAAGGACGUGCUAAUCUGCGAAAAGCGUCGGUAAGGUGAUAUGAACCGUUAUAGCCGGCGAUGUCCGAAUGGGGAAACCCAGUGCAAUUCGUUGCACUAUCGUUAACUGAAUACAUAGGUUAACGAGGCGAACCGGGGGAACUGAAACAUCUAAGUACCCCGAGGAAAAGAAAUCAACCGAGAUUCCCCCAGUAGCGGCGAGCGAACGGGGAGCAGCCCAGAGUCUGAAUCAGCUUGUGUGUUAGUGGAACGGUCUGGAAAGUCCGACGGUACAGGGUGAUAGUCCCGUACACCAAAAUGCACAGGUUGUGAACUCGAAGAGUAGGGCGGGACACGUGGUAUCCUGUCUGAAUAUGGGGGGACCAUCCUCCAAGGCUAAAUACUCCUGACUGACCGAUAGUGAACCAGUACCGUGAGGGAAAGGCGAAAAGAACCCCGGCGAGGGGAGUGAAAAAGAACCUGAAACCGUGUACGUACAAGCAGUGGGAGCACCUUCGGGUGUGACUGCGUACCUUUUGUAUAAUGGGUCAGCGACUUAUAUUCUGUAGCAAGGUUAACCGUAUAGGGGAGCCGCAGGGAAACCGAGUCUUAACUGGGCGUUAAGUUGCAGGGUAUAGACCCGAAACCCGGUGAUCUAGCCAUGGGCAGGUUGAAGGUUGGGUAACACUAACUGGAGGACCGAACCGACUAAUGUUGAAAAAUUAGCGGAUGACUUGUGGCUGGGGGUGAAAGGCCAAUCAAACCGGGAGAUAGCUGGUUCUCCCCGAAAGCUAUUUAGGUAGCGCCUCGUGAAUUCAUCUUCGGGGGUAGAGCACUGUUUCGGCUAGGGGGUCAUCCCGACUUACCAACCCGAUGCAAACUACGAAUACCGAAGAAUGUUAUCACGGGAGACACACGGCGGGUGCUAACGUCCGUCGUGAAGAGGGAAACAACCCAGACCGCCAGCUAAGGUCCCAAAGUCAUGGUUAAGUGGGAAACGAUGUGGGAAGGCACAGACAGCCAGGAUGUUGGCUUAGAAGCAGCCAUCAUUUAAAGAAAGCGUAAUAGCUCACUGGUCGAGUCGGCCUGCGCGGAAGAUGUAACGGGGCUAAACCAUGCACCGAAGCUGCGGCAGCGACACUAUGUGUUGUUGGGUAGGGGAGCGUUCUGUAAGCCUGCGAAGGUGACCUGUGAGGGUUGCUGGAGGUAUCAGAAGUGCGAAUGCUGACAUAAGUAACGAUAAAGCGGGUGAAAAGCCCGCUCGCCGGAAGACCAAGGGUUCCUGUCCAACGUUAAUCGGGGCAGGGUGAGUCGACCCCUAAGGCGAGGCCGAAAGGCGUAGUCGAUGGGAAACAGGUUAAUAUUCCUGUACUUGGUGUUACUGCGAAGGGGGGACGGAGAAGGCUAUGUUAGCCGGGCGACGGUUGUCCCGGUUUAAGCAUGUAGGCUGGUUGUCCAGGCAAAUCCGGAUAAUCAAGGCUGAGGUGUGAUGACGAGGCACUACGGUGCUGAAGUAACAAAUGCCCUGCUUCCAGGAAAAGCCUCUAAGCAUCAGGUAACAUUAAAUCGUACCCCAAACCGACACAGGUGGUCAGGUAGAGAAUACCAAGGCGCUUGAGAGAACUCGGGUGAAGGAACUAGGCAAAAUGGUGCCGUAACUUCGGGAGAAGGCACGCUGGUGUGUAGGUGAAGUCCCUGCGGAUGGAGCUGAGACCAGUCGAAGAUACCAGCUGGCUGCAACUGUUUAUUAAAAACACAGCACUGUGCAAACACGAAAGUGGACGUAUACGGUGUGACGCCUGCCCGGUGCCGGAAGGUUAAUUGAUGGGGUUAUCCGUAAGGAGAAGCUCUUGAUCGAAGCCCCGGUAAACGGCGGCCGUAACUAUAACGGUCCUAAGGUAGCGAAAUUCCUUGUCGGGUAAGUUCCGACCUGCACGAAUGGCGUAAUGAUGGCCAGGCUGUCUCCACCCGAGACUCAGUGAAAUUGAACUCGCUGUGAAGAUGCAGUGUACCCGCGGCAAGACGGAAAGACCCCGUGAACCUUUACUAUAGCUUGACACUGAACAUUGAGCCUUGAUGUGUAGGAUAGGUGGGAGGCUUUGAAGCGUGGACGCCAGUCUGCGUGGAGCCAACCUUGAAAUACCACCCUUUAAUGUUUGAUGUUCUAACGUUGGCCCCUUACCGGGGUUGCGGACAGUGUCUGGUGGGUAGUUUGACUGGGGCGGUCUCCUCCCAAAGCGUAACGGAGGAGCACGAAGGUUAGCUAAUCCUGGUCGGACAUCAGGAGGUUAGUGCAAUGGCAUAAGCUAGCUUGACUGCGAGCGUGACGGCGCGAGCAGGUGCGAAAGCAGGUCAUAGUGAUCCGGUGGUUCUGAAUGGAAGGGCCAUCGCUCAACGGAUAAAAGGUACUCCGGGGAUAACAGGCUGAUACCGCCCAAGAGUUCAUAUCGACGGCGGUGUUUGGCACCUCGAUGUCGGCUCAUCACAUCCUGGGGCUGAAGUAGGUCCCAAGGGUAUGGCUGUUCGCCAUUUAAAGUGGUACGCGAGCUGGGUUUAGAACGUCGUGAGACAGUUCGGUCCCUAUCUGCCGUGGGCGCUGGAGAAUUGAGGGGGGCUGCUCCUAGUACGAGAGGACCGGAGUGGACGCAUCACUGGUGUUCGGGUUGUCAUGCCAAUGGCACUGCCCGGUAGCUAAAUGCGGAAGAGAUAAGUGCUGAAAGCAUCUAAGCACGAAACUUGCCCCGAGAUGAGUUCUCCCUGAGACUUUAAGUCUCCUGAAGGAACGUUGAAGACGACGACGUUGAUAGGCCGGGUGUGUAAGCGCAGCGAUGCGUUGAGCUAACCGGUACUAAUGAACCGUGAGGCUUAACCUU
rnacentral:rRNA from 1 species